ACGAAACUGGGCCUCUUCACAGACAGACCCACAGUUCGCGAGCAUGGCUCAGCGCUGCCCCGCUUCUCCCAGCGCCCCUUCCCGACCUGUGAACGCCUUUACCGCCCUAGGAAAGCGAGAUCUUGUCAGAGAACCUUCCGGCGCCUGUUUCCUGGCAGUGGGGCAUAGUCCAACAGCUGGCUCCCCCAAGAUAGCCAGCGGCCAUUACGCGCUUGGGUCGGAGGAGAUGGAGUCGCAUUUAGCCGCACAGCAGCCUGGGACCUGAAGUUUUCGGCCGCUGAGCGUUCUGGGUGAUUGCGUAGUGCGAGGGCCAACGAAACCUUCUGGGAAGUGUAGUCCAGCAAGCCGCUCACUUAUCGUGAGGCGUCACAUCCUGCUGCUUCACCCUCUGGUGCACGGGAGGACCAACUAUUUCAGUCGAAGAUGCUCAGAGUAAUGCUCAUGAACACUUGUGGACCAGAGAUGAGCUGCCUUCCCAAAAUAUAACUUGAAGGUCAUGAUGUUCUGUUUUCUGGUUAUGCUGACGACUCAAAUCAGACACGAGUGAAAUUUGGUGCCAUGACUCAGAUCGGGGGACCUCCCUUGGGAGAUCAAUCCCUUGUCCUCCUGCUCUUUGCUGCGUGAGAAAGAUCCACCUAUGACCUCGGGUCCUCAGACCAACCAACCCAAGGAACAUCUCACCAAUUUUAAAUUGGAUCUUGGCUUAGUGGCUGAAGACUGAUGCUCCCCGAUCACCUCAGAAGCUUCCUGGACCAUCACAGACACUUUGGGUAACUCUUACAGUGGAGGGUAAGUCCAUCCCCUUCUUAAUCAUUACAGAGGCUACCCACUCCACAUUACCUUCUUUUCAAGGGCCUGUUUCCCUUGCCUCCAUAACUGUUGUGGGUAUUGACAACCAGGCUUCUAAGCCUCUUAAAACUCCCCAACUCUGGUGCCAGUUUGGACAAUAUUCUUUUAUGCACUCCUUUUUAGUUAUCCCUGCCUGCGCAGUUCCCUUAUUAGGCCGAGACAUUUUAACUAAAUUAUCUGCUUCCUAUGCUACAGCCACACCUCAUUGCCACCCUUUUCUCCAGUUCAAAGCCUCCUUCACUCCUGCUCUUGUAUCUCCCCAUUUUAAUCUACAACUAUAGGAUACCUCUACUCCCUCCUUGGUGACCGAUCAUGGACCCCUUACCAUCCCAUUAAAACCUAAUCACCCUUACCCCACUUAAGGCCAAUAUCCCAUCCCACAGCACACUUUAAAAGGAUUAAAGCCUGUUAUCACUUGCCUGUUACAGCAUGGCCUUUUAAAGCCUAUAAACUCUCCUUACAAUUCCCCCAUUUUACCUGUCCUAAAACCAGACAAGCCUUACAGAUUAAUUCAGGAUCUGUGCCUUAUCAACCAAAUUGUGUUGCCUAUCCACCCCAUGGUGCCAAACCCAUAUACUCUCCUAUUCUCAAUACCUCCCUCCACAACCCGUUCUGUUCUAGAUAAACCUAGCUGACCCCAUAAAUCCUAAAUCCUUUCCCCACUCCCCUUUCCAUUCCUUAAAAAACAGCCCUAAAAGCUGCUCCCACACUAGCUCUCCCUAACUCAUCCCAACCCUUUUCAUUACACACAGCUGAAGUGCAGGGCUGUGCAGUCAGAAUGCUUACACAAGAGCUGGGACUGCACCCUGUAGCCUUUUUAUCCAAACAACUUGACCUUACUGUUUUAGUCUAGCCCUCAUGUCUGCAUGCAGCUGCUGCCACUGCCUUAAUACUUUUAGAGGCCCUCAAAAUCACAAACUAUGCUCAACUCACUCUCUACAGUUCUCAUAACUUACAUAAUCUAUUUUCUUCCUCACACCUGAUACAUAUACUUUCUGCCCCCUUCCACUACCUCUCAGCAAGCCGAACUCAUUGCCUUAACUUGAGCCCUCACUCUUCCAAAAGGACUGCACGUCAAUAUUUAUACUGACUCUAAAUAUGCCUUCCAUAUCCUGCACCACCAUGCUGUUAUAUGGGCAAGAAGAGGUUUCCUCACUAUGCAAGGGUCCUCCAUUAUUAAUUCCUCCUUAAUAAAAACUCUUCUCAAGGCCACUUUACUUCCAAAGGAAACUGGAGUCAUUCACUGCAAGGGCCGUCAAAAGGCAUCAGAUCCCAUUGCUCAGGGCAACGCAUAGGCUGAUAAGGUAGCUAAAAAAGCAGCUAGUGUUCCAACUUCUGUCCACCCCCAAAAUUUUUGCUGCCCCAACACUUCAAUACUAUUUUAUGUGAUUUUUCUUAUUAAUAUAAGAAGACAGGAAUGUCAGGGCUCUGAGACCAAGCUAAGCCAUCAUAUACCCUGUGACCUGCUCGUAUACAUCCAGAUGGCCCGAAGUAACUGAAGAAUCACAAAAGAAGUGGAAAUGGCCUGUUCCUGCCUUAACUGAUGACAUUACCUUGUGAAAUUCCUUCACCUGGGUCAUCCUGGCUCAAAAGCUCCCCCACUGAGCACCUUGUGUCCCCCACCCCUGCCAGUCAAAGAACAACCCCCUUUGAGUGUAAUUUUCCACUACCUACCUAAAUCCUAUAAAACGGCCCGACCCCUAUAUCCCUUUGCUGGCUAUAUCCCUUCGCUGGCUCUCUUUUUGGACUCAGCCUGCCUAGACCCAGGUGAUUAAAAAGCUUUAUUGCUCACA
rnacentral:antisense_RNA from 1 species